UACGAAGGGGGCUAGCGUUGCUCGGAUUGAGCGUGGGCGUAAAGGGCGCGUAGGCGGUUCGUACAGUCAGACCGGUGAAACUUCCCUGGGGCUCAACCUGGGGGCUGCGUUGAUACGUGGCGGACUUGAGUGCGGAAGAGGGUCGUGGAAUUCCCAGUGUAGAGGUGAAAUUCGUAGAUACUUGGGAAGAACACCGGGUGGCGAAGGCGGCCGACCUGGUCCGAUACUGACGCUGAGGCGACGAAAGCGUGGGGAGCAAACAGG
rnacentral:rRNA from 1 species